GUGCUCGCUUCAGCAAUACACACACAUUCUAUAACUGGAAUGAUAUAGAGAAGAUUAGCAUGGCCCUGUGCUAAGAUGACACACAGAUUUAUCAAAUGUUCCUUAUUUUA
ensembl:snRNA Gm24947 predicted gene, 24947